UGGAUUUAAGGAGGGUGAUUAAAAAAAGAGAAGUUCAGCUUGUUUCAUACAGCUGUUGCUGCUUACCCCAGGGCUCUGCAGAGCCUUUCUGCCAUGUUUCUCUCAUCCUUCUGCUGGUUCUUCAGGUGCUCUUGAAACCUCUCCCUGGUUCCUUCAUUUGGUACCAUGGUUCUCUUCCAUUUUGAUCAUAUAGCAAGGAAGUGGGGUGUGAAGAAUGGAGCAAAAAGACCAGAGGCUUUUCCUUGGACGUUUGCAUCUCAGCCAUAGCAGCCUAAGUCUGCUAGCCUUGAAGCCAUUAAUAAAUCUGCCUUUCCAAGCAAACAGAAGCAAAUGUCCUCUCCUUCUGUAUCAAAUCCCUAGAGGAUAUGUGAAAUGCCUACUUCAUGUCUAGCCAAGGAAGGGAGGGCAAAAAAAACGCUUCCUGAGGACACAUCAGUCUCCACAAGGACCGGUCUCCAAAAGACAGCUGGACAGAAUGGUGUAGGGAAAACACCAUGGGCAACAAAACUUUCAAAAUGUGCAUCUUCUGGAGUUGCUGUGAAAUAACACUGCUUUGGUCUACGUGUGCUCUCAGAAGUAUGUGGGUUACUUGUCCGAAACUGUCACGUUUCCUCCUGGAAUGGGAUUUCACAUCAUAGCUCUCAAAGCCACUGCACUGGACCAGGGUAGAGGCUCUCUGGGUGUGUUUAUAUUUCUCUCCAGUGCAUCGCAGAUGAGCACGUGUUUCUGAGAAGAGCCCAUUUAAAUCUUUCACCCCUGGAGCCAUCCACUCAGCAUUUCCCUUGGCACUUCAACUGAUUAAACUAUAUCUUGUUUGUCAGAGUCAUUCCUUGUCUGUUUUCUUUAGCUCCCUUCUCUUAGCCAAGUCAUAAAUCUGGAUUUGUAGCUCAUAUUGUUCCUAGAGAAGCAGACUGCGAAAGUGCAGACAGAGGGUUAUGACUUCCCUGAGGGAAGUAGUUGAGAGGAAGAGCUGCCCUAUCAAGUGGAAUAAAUGCAAAGCAGUAGUCUGAAAAUAAUGGAUGACUGAAUUGAGUUGGAAGGAGAUCAUCCCUGUUUUAAGUACUGUCUUCAGAGGAAAGCCCUUUAACUUAUGCACUUUCCCCUCUGAGAUCUGACUGUUCUGGGAUUUGAUCCAUAUUAGCUAUUUCAUCAUUUGCAUUGACUUAUUUCUUUGGAGAUGCUUUCCUCCCCUCCUUCCCCCACCAAGUCAUUUAUGAAUCUGAGCUACAAGGAAGCGAUUCCUCAGGGACUGUCUCCGUUUUGGAGCAAAGUGACUGCACAGGUCAGAUUGCUGUGACCUUGAAGAUCUCAGUGCAAAGGCUUGCAAAAAGCAAAGACAAGCAGCAUGGAUUUCUUGUGUGCUGUUUUGGGUUUGGAUGGAGUUUGGGGUCGCUAAUUAGCUCCCAUUUGCAAGGAGCAAAUGUAAGAGUCAAUGUGGUAGCACUGCUGUUUACAGCAGCUGCAACCUGCUGUAGGGUUCUCUCUGCCUCACUUGAGU